AUUGAACGCUGGCGGCAGGCCUAACACAUGCAAGCCGAACAGUGGCGGACGGGUGAGUAACGCGUGGGUAACCCGCCCUUAAGUCUGGGAUACCAUUUGGUAACAGAUGCUAAUACCGGAUACCAAAGGAUGGAUCUGCUAUUCAUUAGCUAGUCGGUAAGGUAACGGCUUACAAAGGCGAUGAUGCAUAGCCGAGUUGAGAGACUAAUCGGCCACAUUGGGACUGAGACACGGCCCAAACUCCUGCGGGAGGCAGCAAUAGAGAAUCUUCCGCGGUGGACGAAAGUCUGAUAGAGCAACGCCGCGUGAGUGAAGAAGGUUUUCAGUUCGUAAAGCUCUGUAGUUGGUGAAGCGGUAAUCAACCAGAAAGUCGCAGCUAACUACGUGCCAGCAACCGCGAUAAUAC
rnacentral:rRNA from 1 species